UAGGGAAUCUUCGGCAAUGGACGAAAGUCUGACCGAGCAACGCCGCGUGAGUGAAGAAGGUUUUCGGAUCGUAAAACUCUGUUGUUAGAGAAGAACAAGGACGUUAGUAACUGAACGUCCCCUGACGGUAUCUAACCAGAAAGCCACGGCUAACUACGUGCCAGCAGCCGCGGUAAUACGUAGGUGGCAAGCGUUGUCCGGAUUUAUUGGGCGUAAAGCGAGCGCAGGCGGUUUCUUAAGUCUGAUGUGAAAGCCCCCGGCUCAACCGGGGAGGGUCAUUGGAAACUGGGAGACUUGAGUUCAGAAGAGGAGAGUGGAAUUCCAUGUGUAGCGGUGAAAUGCAUAGAUAUAUGGAGGAACACCAGUGGCGAAGGCGGCUCUCUGGUCUGUAACUGACGCUGAGGCUCGAAAGCGUGGGGAGCAAACAGG
rnacentral:rRNA from 1 species